GCAGUGGUGGUUCAACGGUGGAAUUUUCACCUUCCACGUGGAGGGCCCAGGUUCCAUCCUCGGCCAAUGCA
rnacentral:tRNA from 1 species